AUGGCCGCGUCGGCGUCGGCGGCGGGCGGCGAGCCCCAGAAGCAGUUCCUAUCCAUCAUCCGCGACUUCGCGGCCGAGAAGUCCCACGGCGAGCGCACGGUGUCGGGCCUGAAGCGCCGCCUCGACGACGUGGUCUCAGCGUCCGACGCGGCCACGGCGGAGCUCGAGGCCGCGAAGCGCGCGCGGGAGGCGGCAGAGACGGAGCUGCGCGGGAGCGAGGUGCAGGCAUCCAUCGCAGACGCGUCGAUACAGGCGCUCGAGGCGACGAUCUCUCGUCUCCAGGAGGAGAUCGCGAAGCUGGGCUCUGAACUGGAGGCGCUUAAGAGCACAGAGGACAUCGAGAGAGAGGAGUUCUUGAGACAGAUGCUUGAAAUGAAUGCAAGGAUAAGGCAGUUUCAACAGAAGGCUUCUGCAGAAUUAGCAGAGAGGUGCUCUGGACCGCCAUCAGCAGAUGGUAAGCAAGGCAAGUCAGCAGAGGGUCAAAAUGUGAGCGACAUGAAUGAAACUAUGGACUCAGAAGGUAUGUUGACAGAUUCGGUUGAUCAGAUGAACAAGAUGAAUGCUGAGGUGCAUGUAUUGGAGGAAGAGUAUCAAAAGGACCUGCUUGAACUUGAAAAGCUGCGUCAUGAACUGGCUGAUGUGCGAGCAAAGAGAGCUCUUAUGGAGGCUGUGAUGAAAGAGACGAAGAAGUUGCAGGAGCUCGGAGGAUAUCCUUUUCACCUGUCUAAAAAUCACUUUGUUUGCGCAACUAUUAUUUAUAUGUACAUAUGUUCCUGCCGCUUCUUCAUCCGUGUGUGUUUGCGGAAGCUUUCCUUGACUCGACGCAAGCGCGUGUCCGAACUGGAGAAUCUGCACCAUUCACUCGCUGAGGAGCUCCAGAAGCGCUACAUAUGCCCUGGCUGCGGAACCAACAACAUGGCGCCGGAGGAGGAGGCAGCACCGGCAGCGGCGGUGGCAAACUAA
rnacentral:rRNA from 1 species